rnacentral:rRNA from 1 species
UACGAAGGGUGCAAGCGUUACUCGGAAUUACUGGGCGUAAAGCGUGCGUAGGUGGUUUGUUAAGUCUGAUGUGAAAGCCCUGGGCUCAACCUGGGAAUUGCAUUGGAUACUGGCAGGCUAGAGUGCGGUAGAGGAUGGCGGAAUUCCUGGUGUAGCGGUGAAAUGCGCAGAUAUCAGGAGGAACACCGAUGGCGAAGGCAGGUCUCUGGGCCACUACUGACGCUGAGAAGCGAAAGCAUGGGGAGCGAACAGG